rnacentral:rRNA from 1 species
UGCCAGCCGCCGCGGUAAUACGAAGGGUGCAAGCGUUACUCGGAAUUACUGGGCGUAAAGCGUGCGUAGGUGGUCGUUUAAGUCCGUUGUGAAAGCCCUGGGCUCAACCUGGGAACUGCAGUGGAUACUGGGCGACUAGAGUGUGGUAGAGGGUAGCGGAAUUCCUGGUGUAGCAGUGAAAUGCGUAGAGAUCAGGAGGAACAUCCAUGGCGAAGGCAGCUACCUGGACCAACACUGACACUGAGGCACGAAAGCGUGGGGAGCAAACAGGAUUAGAUA